GACGAACGCUGGCGGCGUGCUUAACACAUGCAAGUCGAACGGAAAGGCCCUGCUUUUGUGGGGUGCUCGAGUGGCGAACGGGUGAGUAACACGUGAGUAACCUGCCCUUGACUUUGGGAUAACUUCAGGAAACUGGGGCUAAUACCGGAUAGGAGCUCCUGCUGCAUGGUGGGGGUUGGAAAGUUUCGGCGGUUGGGGAUGGACUCGCGGCUUAUCAGCUUGUUGGUGGGGUAGUGGCUUACCAAGGCUUUGACGGGUAGCCGGCCUGAGAGGGUGACCGGCCACAUUGGGACUGAGAUACGGCCCAGACUCCUACGGGAGGCAGCAGUGGGGAAUAUUGCACAAUGGGCGGAAGCCUGAUGCAACAACGCCGCGUGCGGGAUGACGGCCUUCGGGUUGUAAACCGCUUUCGCCUGUGACGAAGCGUGAGUGACGGUAAUGGGUAAAGAAGCACCGGCUAACUACGUGCCAGCAGCCGCGGUGAUACGUAGGGUGCGAGCGUUGUCCGGAUUUAUUGGGCGUAAAGGGCUCGUAGGUGGUUGAUCGCGUCGGAAGUGUAAUCUUGGGGCUUAACCCUGAGCGUGCUUUCGAUACGGGUUGACUUGAGGAAGGUAGGGGAGAAUGGAAUUCCUGGUGGAGCGGUGGAAUGCGCAGAUAUCAGGAGGAACACCAGUGGCGAAGGCGGUUCUCUGGGCCUUUCCUGACGCUGAGGAGCGAAAGCGUGGGGAGCGAACAGGCUUAGAUACCCUGGUAGUCCACGCUGUAAACGGUGGGUACUAGGUGUGGGGUCCAUUCCACGGGUUCCGUGCCGUAGCUAACACUUUAAGUACCCCGCCUGGGGAGUACGGCCGCAAGGCUAAAACUCAAAGGAAUUGACGGGGCCCCGCACAAGCGGCGGAGCAUGCGGAUUAAUUCGAUGCAACGCGUAGAACCUUACCUGGGUUUGACAUGGAUCGGGAGUGCUCAGAGAUGGGUGUGCCUCUUUUGGGGUCGGUUCACAGGUGGUGCAUGCCUGCCGUCAGCUCGUGUCGUGAGAUGUUGGGUUAAGUCCCGCAACGAGCGCAACCCUUGUUCACUGUUGCCAGCACGUUAUGGUGGGGACUCAGUGGAGACCGCCGGGGUCAACUCGGAGGAAGGUGGGGAUGACGUCAAGUCCUCAUGCCCCUUAUGUCCAGGGCUUCACGCAUGCUACAAUGGCUGGUACAGAGAGUGGCGAGCCUGUGAGGGUGAGCGAAUCUCGGAAAGCCGGUCUCAGUUCGGAUUGGGGUCUGCAACUCGACCUCAUGAAGUCGGAGUCGCUAGUAAUCGCAGAUCAGCAACGCUGCGGUGAAUACGUUCCCGGG
rnacentral:rRNA from 1 species